rnacentral:lncRNA from 1 species
GCCCUUAAAUCCUGAGUCAUCUCUCUAGGCCCUCUGUAUUUCUUUCAAUUUAAUUUUCUUAGUGCUUGAAUAUAAGACAACAUUUUAGUAUGAGAGAAUAAAACAUAUUAGUAGAUUAUUUUUAUGGUAGAUAUUGUUUCAAAGACUAUAUUUUAAAGCUCAUUGAUAUACUGCAGAUAGUAAGAUAUGCUAGCACACCUAUAACCCCAUUACUGAAAAGGCAGAAGCAGGUGAAUAUCUGUGAUUCGUGGUCAGCCUAGCCUACAUAGUGAGUUCCAGGUCUGUACUGGGAAAUAAAAAAGUUCAAAUACUAAAAACAUAGUAUAUACCUACUCUUGUCUGUAUAGUUUGAGGAGAUGGGGAAGGGAAGUCCCAGAAAUGGCCUUAAACCUAUGCCUAGACAUACAUAAGGACUUGAACACUGAGGCCAGCUGACAGAAUUGGCUCAAGCUAGGUGUGGGAAGGCACCCUGCAAUCUUAGUACCUUGGAAAUAAAGGCAGGAUGAUUGUCCAUGACUUGAGGCCAGCCUGGGCUGCAGAGUGAGACCCAGUGUCAAAGAACAAAACAGGUUGAACAGUAGGAGUGACUCUGCUUGGGGAGUGACUUGAGUUACAGUUUUGGUGACGGAAUAAUUUGAAAUGGAAACUAUUUUUCUCUAUUUUUUGCUGAAAUAACUAUGACUGUCUUCAAAAAGUGAUUCUAUAGAGUUGGUCAUAUUAGAAAUUACCUAAAUGACUAGGUUUUAAAAUGUAAUUUGUGCUGGUGAUAUUACACAAGAGUUUGAGCACUAGAAAGGGCAGUCUCAAAGCAUUUAAUACUACUUCAAAGGGUUAGAAAGUGAUUGAUCUUCAAGAAAUUUUAAGUUUCUUAGAAUUUUUUUUUUUUUUUUUUUACAAUUAAGUGACCCUCUCCAUCAAAAUAAUGACAUGAUGUUGUAAAUCUCAGAAGUAUCUUUAGGAAAAUUAGAAGGAACUUGAACAUUUUGAUUUUUCUAGACAUGGUUUCUCUGCGUAGUCCUGGCUGUCCUGAAACUCAAGGACACCUAGAACCCCUGGGAUACGACACCCAGCAA